AGUACGCACGCAAGUGUGAAACUCAAAGGAAUUGACGGGGGCCCGCACAAGCGGUGGAGUAUGUGGUUUAAUUCGAUGCAACGCGAAGAACCUUACCAGGGCUUGACAUGUCGCGAAUCCCCUUGAAAGGGGGGAGUGCCUUCGGGAGCGCGAGCACAGGUGGUGCAUGGCUGUCGUCAGCUCGUGUCGUGAGAUGUUGGGUUAAGUCCCGCAACGAGCGCAACCCACGUUUCUAGUUGCCAGCAUUCAGUUGGGCACUUUAGAGAGACUGCCGGUGACAAACCGGAGGAAGGUGUGGAUGACGUCAAGUCAGCAUGCCCCUUACGUCCUGGGCUACACACGUACUACAAUGCUUCGGACAGAGGGUUGCCAGCCCGCGAGGGUGCGCUAAUCCCGUAAACCGAGGCUCAGUUCAGAUUGCAGGCUGCAACUCGCCUGCAUGAAGGCGGAAUCGCUAGUAAUCGCCGGUCAGCAUACGGCGGUGAUACGUUCCCGGGCCUUGUACACACCGCCCGUCACACCAUGGGAGUUGGCCACGCCCGAAGUUGUACCCUAACCUUCGGGAG
rnacentral:rRNA from 1 species